rnacentral:tRNA from 1 species
GAGGGUAUAGCUCAGUGGUAGAGUGCAUGCUCAGCAUGCAUGAGGUCCUGGGUUCAAUCCCCAGUACCAUUA